AGAGUUUGAUCCUGGCUCAGAUUGAACGCUGGCGGCAUGCCUUACACAUGCAAGUCGAACGGCAGCACGGGGCAACCUGGUGGCGAGUGGCGAACGGGUGAGUAAUAUAUCGGAAUGUACCCUAGAGUGGGGGAUAACGUAGCGAAAGUUACGCUAAUACCGCAUACGAUCUAAGGAUGAAAGUGGGGGACCGCAAGGCCUCAUGCUCAUGGAGCAGCCGAUAUCUGAUUAGCUAGUUGGUAGGGUAAAAGCCUACCAAGGCGACGAUCAGUAGCUGGUUUGAGAGAACGACCAGCCACACUGGAACUGAGACACGGUCCAGACUCCUACGGGAGGCAGCAGUGGGGAAUUUUGGACAAUGGGCGCAAGCCUGAUCCAGCAAUGCCGCGUGAGUGAAGAAGGCCUUCGGGUUGUAAAGCUCUUUUGUCAGGGAAGAAAAGGUAUCUCCUAAUACGAGGUGCUCAUGACGGUACCUGAAGAAUAAGCACCGGCUAACUACGUGCCAGCAGCCGCGGUAAUACGUAGGGUGCAAGCGUUAAUCGGAAUUACUGGGCGUAAAGCGUGCGCAGGCGGUUAUAUAAGUCAGAUGUGAAAUCCCCGGGCUCAACCUGGGAACUGCAUUUGAGACUGUAUGGCUAGAGUGUGUCAGAGGGGGGUAGAAUUCCACGUGUAGCAGUGAAAUGCGUAGAUAUGUGGAGGAAUACCGAUGGCGAAGGCAGCCCCCUGGGAUAACACUGACGCUCAUGCACGAAAGCGUGGGGAGCAAACAGGAUUAGAUACCCUGGUAGUCC
rnacentral:rRNA from 1 species